rnacentral:rRNA from 1 species
UACAGAGGUCUCAAGCGUUGUUCGGAUUCAUUUGGCGUAAAGGGUGCGUAGGCGGCGCGGUAAGUCGGGUGUGAAAUCUUGGAGCUUAACUCCGAAACUGCAUUCGAUACUGCCGUGCUUGAGGACUGGAGAGGAGACUGGAAUUUACGGUGUAGCGGUGAAAUGCGUAGAUAUCGUAAGGAAGACCAGUGGCGAAGGCGGGUCUCUGGACAGUUCCUGACGCUGAGGCACGAAGGCCAGGGGAGUAAACGGG